CAGGCCUAACACAUGCAAGUCGAACGGGGGAGCAAUCCCUAGUGGCGAACGGCGGAGUAAGACAUGAGGAACGUACCCUGAAGACCGGGAUAGUCAUUGGAAACGAUGGGUAAUACCGGAUGUGGCGGAAGUGUGGCAUCACAUUUCCAUUAAACGGUUUUUCGCUUCAGGAGCGCCUCAUGGCCUAUCAGGUAGUUGGUGGGGUAAUGGCCUACCAAGCCGACGACGGGUAGCGGGUCUGAGAGGAUGAUCCGCUCGAGUGGGACUGAGACACGGCCCACACACCUACGGGUGGCAGCAGUUGGGAAUCUUGCACAAGGGGGGAAACCCUGGUGCAGCGACGCCGCGUGGAGGAUGAAGGAUCUAGGUCUGUAAACUCCUUUUAUCGGGAAAGACUUAGGACGGUACCCGAUGAAUAAGCACCGGCUAACUACGUGCCAGCAGCCGCGGUGAGACGUAGGGUGCAAGCGUUGUCCGGAUUUACUGGGCGUAAAGAGCGCGUAGGCGGUCUGUUAAGUGUAGAGUGAAAGCUCCGGGCUCAACCUGGAAAUUGCUCUGCAUACUGGCAGACUUGAGGAAUGGAGAGGUUUGUGGAAUUCCUGGUGUAGCGGUGAAAUGCAUUGAUAUCAGGAGGAACACCGAUGGCGAAGGCAGCAAACUGGCCAUUAUCUGACGCUGAGGCGCGAAAGCGUGGGUAGCAAACAGGAUUAGAUACCCUGGUAGUCCACGCCCUAAACUAUGGAUACUAGA
rnacentral:rRNA from 1 species